rnacentral:lncRNA from 1 species
GUUCUUCCUAACUGUGAAACAGCCUUGAUAAUACGUGUGAAGCUUCCUUGUAAAUGUACACUUUAAGCGAUCUGGGCGGCAGUUCCGGGCCACCUGCCCCUGCAGAUGCUUAGCGUGUGACCCCUGGGGUAGCCCACCUCCUUCUCUGACCACUACCUUACACUCUGCCUGGAUCCAUGUAAUUGAAGGAAGCACACUAGUUCCCUUGCUCACCUGCUCACUUGCUCCAGCUGCCACUUCAUUUCUUGGAUACUAUGCAUGGAAUUGGGAUAAAGAAUGGAAGGACAGACAGGGAAGAACAGAGGUGAG